CAACCCUCAAGCCCUGCUUGGUGUUGGGGCACUAUUUUCGUAUAGGCCCUGUAACGUAGUGGCGGAUCUGCUGUUAUCCUGAGCGUAGUAAUACACGUCGCUUUGGGCUCUCAGUGGGCUCCUGCCGUUAAACCCCCACUUUAUAA
rnacentral:misc_RNA from 1 species